rnacentral:rRNA from 1 species
GAUGAACGCUGGCGGCGUGCCUAAUACAUGCAAGUAGAACGCUGAAGGAGGAGCUUGCUCUUCUGGAUGAGUUGCGAACGGGUGAGUAACGCGUAGGUAACCUGCCUGGUAGCGGGGGAUAACUAUUGGAAACGAUAGCUAAUACCGCAUGACAACAGUUAUUGCAUGAUAACUGUUUAAAAGGGGCAACUGCUCCACUACCAGAUGGACCUGCGUUGUAUUAGCUAGUUGGUGAGGUAACGGCUCACCAAGGCGACGAUACAUAGCCGACCUGAGAGGGUGAUCGGCCACACUGGGACUGAGACACGGCCCAGACUCCUACGGGAGGAAGCAGUAGGGAAUCUUCGGAAAUGGACGGAAGUCUGACCGAGCAACGCCGCGUGAGUGAAGAAGGGUUUCGGAUCGUAAAGCUCUGUUGUAAGAGAAGAACGAGUGUGAGAGUGGAAAGUUCACACUGUGACGGUAUCUUACCAGAAAGGGACGGCUAACUACGUG